rnacentral:misc_RNA from 1 species
GAUGAAGAACGCAGCGAAAUGCGAUAAGUAAUGUGAAUUGCAGAAUUCAGUGAAUCAUCGAAUCUUUGAACGCACAUUGCGCCCCUUGGUAUUCCGAGGGGCAUGUCUGUUCGAGCGUCAUUAUAACCCCUCAAGCUCAGCUUGGUGUUGGGGCCUGCUGCACUGGCAGCCCUUAAAAUCAGUGGCGGCGCCAUCUGGCUCUAAGCGUAGUAAUUCUUCUCGCUAUGGAGUCCUGGUGGAUGCUUGCCAUCAACCCCCAAUUUUUCUAUGGUUGACCUCGGAUCAGGUAGGGAUACCCGCUGAACUUAAGCAUAUCAAUAAGCGGAGGA